GCUUAGGAGGUGCCAGCGGCGGGGGUGAGACGGAGGGGGCAAGCAGUGUCCGGAUUUAUUGGGGUGAAAGGGGGGGUAGGCGGCCCUGUAAGUCAGUGGUGAAAUACGGCAGCUCAACGGUCGAGGGGCCAUUGAUACUGCGGGGCUGGAGUACUGAUGAGGUAAGCGGAAUUGACGGUGUAGCGGUGAAAUGCUUAGAUAUCGGCAAGAACACCGAUAGCGAAGGCAGCUUACUAAGGAGUAACUGACGCUCAGGCACGAAAGUGCGGGGAUCAAACAGGAUUAGAUACCCUUGUAGUC
rnacentral:rRNA from 1 species